GUGCUUACAUCGGCAGCACAUGUGCUAAAAUUGGAAUGAUACCAAGAAGAUUAGCAUGGUCCCUGUACAAGGAGGACACAUAAAUUUGUGAAGUGUUCCAUAAUUUU
ensembl:snRNA U6 U6 spliceosomal RNA